rnacentral:rRNA from 1 species
CCUACGGGAGGCAGCAGUGAGGAAUAUUGGUCAAUGGCCGAGAGGCUGAACCAGCCAAGUCGCGUGAGGGAAGACGGCCCUACGGGUUGUAAACCUCUUUUGUCGGGGAGCAAAGCGAACCACGUGUGGUUCAUUGAGAGUACCCGAAGAAAAAGCAUCGGCUAACUCCGUGCCAGCAGCCGCGGUAAUACGGAGGAUGCGAGCGUUAUCCGGAUUUAUUGGGUUUAAAGGGUGCGCAGGCGGAGGUGCAAGUCCGCGGUCAAAUUGCGGGGCUCAACCCCGUACUGCCGUUGAAACUGCAUGCCGUGAGUGCGCGAGAAGGAGGCGGAAUGCGUGGGGUAGGGGUGAAAUGCAUAGAUAUCACGCAGAACUCCGAUUGUGAAGGCAGCAUACAGGCGCGCAACUGACGCGCAUGCACGAAAGCGUGGGUAUCGAACAGGAUGAGAUACCCUUGGAGUC